UACGAAGGGGACUAGCGUUGUUCGGAAUCACUGGGCGUAAAGCGCACGUAGGCGGAUCAUUUAGUCAGGGGUGAAAUCCCGGGGCUCAACCUCGGAACUGCCUUUGAUACUGAUGGUCUCGAGUCCGAUAGAGGUGGGUAGAAUUCCUAGUGUAGAGGUGAAAUUCGUAGAUAUUAGGAAGAAUACCGGUGGCGAAGGCGGCCCACUGGAUCGGUACUGACGCUGAGGUGCGAAAGCGUGGGGAGCAAAC
rnacentral:rRNA from 1 species